GUUUCCGUAGGUGAACCUGCGGAAGGAUCAUUACAGUAGUCGCCCGGGUUGCCGCAAGGCCUCCCGGGUAACCUACCACCCUUUGUUUAUUACACUUUGUUGCUUUGGCAGGCCUGCCCUCGGGCUGCUGGCUCCGGCCGGCGAGCGCUUGCCAGAGGACCUAAACUCUGUUUGUCUAUACUGUCUGAGUACUAUAUAAUAGUUAAAACUUUCAACAACGGAUCUCUUGGUUCUG
rnacentral:misc_RNA from 1 species